rnacentral:rRNA from 1 species
CCUACGGGAGGCAGCAGUGAGGAAUAUUGGUCAAUGGGCGAAAGUCUGAACCAGCCAUGUAGCGUGCAGGAUGACUGCCCUAUGGGUUGUAAACUUCUUUUAUACGGGGAUAAAAUGUUCCACGUGUGGGAUUUUGCAUGUACCGUAUGAAUAAGGAUCGGCUAACUCCGUGCCAGCAGCCGCGGUAAUACGGAGGAUCCGAGCGUUAUCCGGAUUUAUUGGGUUUAAAGGGAGCGUAGGCGGGUUGUUAAGUCAGUUGUGAAAGUUUGCGGCUCAACCGUAAAAUUGCAGUUGAUACUGGCAGCCUUGAGUACAGUAGAGGUGGGCGGAAUUCGUGGUGUAGCGGUGAAAUGCUGAGAUAUCACGAAGAACUCCGAUUGCGAAGGCAGCUCACUGGACUGCAACUGACACUGAGGCUCGAAAGUGUGGGUAUCAAACAGGAUUAGAUACCCGGGUAGUC